rnacentral:tRNA from 1 species
GGGUUGGUGGUCUAAUAGCUACCGCUUCUGCUUGAUAAGCAGAUGGUUCUGGGUUCAAUCCCAAGCCCAUCCC